ACCUGGCUGGCUCAGUCAGUGGAGCAUACGACUCCUGAUCUUGGGGGUUGUGAGUUUGAGUCCCAUGCUGGGUG
rnacentral:tRNA from 1 species